UGUAUGGUUAAGAGGUAAAAUAUGAAGAGCCUAUGUUUUGUAAAUUCUUAAAUGCUCCUGUAUUCACGAGUGAUUCAAAUCCAAAAGCCUGAAGACUCCUGUACAGUAUGUAUUGUGUUAGCAAACACAUGACUACUUAAGAAACAGAAGUACUGACAGAUGGAAGGACUUGCCAGCAAGACACUUAUAAGAACUCUUCCUUCAGCAACAUUGAAAUCUACUCACUAUUUUAUUUAACAUCCUUUCCUGGACCAGAGCAGUGAUGCAGUACAAGAGAUGUUACCUGGGACCUCCUUCACCAACCGAGAGUCAUAACAUUUCCACUGCAUCUUUACUUUUCUGCCACAGGUUUUCCUGUAAAUCAUGUAACUGCAAUGAGAGAAUCAAGAAAUGAAUUGGUGCAGGGCGGCUGGAUAUUUGAGGAACCAGCAAUCUCAUGUUUGCUUCAGGAGAAAAAAAAAAAGAAAUAAUCAAGGUUUCAAGCACACACCCUCCAAAAUUAUGUAAAAACAUGCUGAGCCAGCCUACUAGCAAAGACAUGGCCUGUGCACGCUGUUCCCAUAACAUUUUGUACGUUCUCGCCUCACGUGACACAGCAACAAAGUCGAAGUCCUGCAAGGUCUAACCUUGCUGUAGCCACUGGAUCUGAGCCGGGACUGCCACCUCCUCCAUCCACCCCCAGAAGCCUGGCACCUGCCCUCUCUGUUCCUCCAGCACCCCACACGCACCCCUUUGCCAGCUUAGGCAGAAAGCUCCUGAGAAGCCUGCCUGACCUUCAAAGCCUGAGAGCAAAGCAGCCCACCCUGCUUGCACAUGAACAACCACAGCCACUGUAAGCCAAGCUCUGCCACAGGGACCUCACCAACCUGGAGUCCAGGCAGUGGCAAAUUGAUUGAGAUCACAGGUGGUCUAUAUCUACGGGCUUCUUGUAUUAGCUCUGCUAAAUUAACUACUCCUUUCUUGAUGGCUCACUUCUGUAGAUGUAGGAUGUUAACAGUAAAAGCCACACCUUUCUCUGGCCAGUGCCAUUUUCCUAGCUUUCUUUUGCAUGAGGAAAAAAACAAACCAAACCACUCUAAUUACACAGGCUCCACAUUGUUUCCAUUAGGAAUAUGAAAAACACCUGCAGAACGUUCUCUCCUUGCUCCCCUCUUUCCUCCAGAGGUUUCCUUUUAUCACUCCCAAAGCUGUCAAGCUUCUUAGGAAACAAUCGGGCUUGACAGUUCUGGGGUUAAGAAUAAUAUGUUGUCGUCUUACGUCCCAGCAGACAUGCACUGAGCAAUUUAUCACAGUCCAAACAGCAGGGUUGUACUAUCUCAUAUUAAAUGCAAGAGCCUUAUCUAAAAAUGCGAUCCCAUGUGUGGUUAGUGAAUUUGGUUUGAAAUACCAUGUAUUUAUUCAGAUCUUUGUUUCAGUGUUAAUCCUCCAUCUGACAGCACCUCAGAUCUCUUUGCUAAACAUUGCUAUA